rnacentral:rRNA from 1 species
UAGGGAAUCUUCGGCAAUGGACGGAAGUCUGACCGAGCAACGCCGCGUGAGUGAAGAAGGUUUUCGGAUCGUAAAGCUCUGUUGUAAGAGAAGAACGAGUGUGAGAGUGGAAAGUUCACACUGUGACGGUAUCUUACCAGAAAGGGACGGCUAACUACGUGCCAGCAGCCGCGGUAAUACGUAGGUCCCGAGCGUUGUCCGGAUUUAUUGGGCGUAAAGCGAGCGCAGGCGGUUAGAUAAGUCUGAAGUUAAAGGCUGUGGCUUAACCAUAGUAGGCUUUGGAAACUGUUUAACUUGAGUGCAAGAGGGGAGAGUGGAAUUCCAUGUGUAGCGGUGAAAUGCGUAGAUAUAUGGAGGAACACCGGUGGCGAAAGCGGCUCUCUGGCUUGUAACUGACGCUGAGGCUCGAAAAGCGUGGGGGAGCAAACAGGAUUAGAUACCCUGGUAGUCCACGCUGUAAACGAUGAGUGCUAGGUGUUAGACCCUUUCCCGGGGUUUAGUGCCGUAGCUAACGCAUUAAGGCACUCCGCCUGGGGGAGUAACGACCGCANGGUUGG